UACGAGAGGCCCAAACGUUAUUCGGAAUUACUGGGCUUAAAGAGUUCGUAGGCGGCUAUGAAAAGUAGGGUGUGAAAGGCCCUCGGCUUAACCGAGGAAUUGCGCUCUAAACUGUCGUGCUCGAGGAACCUAGAGGGUGAGCAGAACAGAUGGUGGAGCGGUGAAAUGCGUUGAUAUCAUCUGGAAUACCGGAGGCGAAGGCGGCUCACUGGGGGUUUUCUGACGCUGAGGAACGAAAGCCAGG
rnacentral:rRNA from 1 species